AGCCAGUUGAUCAGUGCGCCGGCGCACAGCAACACCAUGCCGUAUCUGUACGGCCUCUGUGAUUGUCUGCCUUCGUCUGGAGACAUGCCUGCAAUGAAACAGAAAUAUUGUGUUGUAGUAUAGCUCACAGCGAAGAUCAUGGGUCAAUGUUGGAGGUGAGCCAUCAAUACAGUGAUCCCUUGCAUUUGGGUCAAGAUCACCAUGUGCGGUCGAGUGUCGUUGGCUCAGCGCUGUCUCGCGUACCAUCAUCUAUCGAGUUAUUUUAUCCUCAUGGCCCAAAAAUGUGAAUAUUUGAGGUUUAAUAAUAA